GACGAACGCUGGCGGCGUGCUUAACACAUGCAAGUCGAACGGAAAGGCCCUGCUUGCAGGGUACUCGAGUGGCGAACGGGUGAGUAACACGUGGGUGAUCUGCCCUGCACUUCGGGAUAAGCCUGGGAAACUGGGUCUAAUACCGGAAAGGAGCCAUUGUGAGUGUGAUGGUUGGAAAGUUUUUUCGGCGUAGGAUGAGCUCGCGGCCUAUCAGCUUGUUGGUGGGGUAAUGGCCUACCAAGGCGGCGACGGGUAGCCGGCCUGAGAGGGUGGACGGCCACCUUGGGACUGAGAUACGGCCCAGACUCCUACGGGAGGCAGCAGUGGGGAAUAUUGCACAAUGGGCGCCAGCCUGAUGCAGCGACGCCGCGUAUGGGAUGACGGCCUUCGUGUUGAAAACUCCUUUCGCUAGGGACGAAGCUUUUUGUGACGGUACCUAGAUAAGAAGCACCGGCUAACUACGUG
rnacentral:rRNA from 1 species